CCCCCCCCCCCCCGACGCGGGGCAGCUGGGGCUCCGCGGAGAUUAGAAUCGGCUCUCCGGGGCGCUUCCUUGGGCAGCCGGUCCUGCUCCCACCCCGUGCGGUAAUCAGCAAGCAUUAAAAGGAAAACUAUAAUUCUCCAGGAAUCAGGGUUAGGAUCAAAGAGGGGAGAUGGGGGUAGGGAGGAUGUCCAAACUCCCUACGUCAUUUUAAAAAUGCGAGAGGGAGAGAGAGAUCCUGUUUCCUAGCUCAUCCCUGUCCUCCCAACUGUAAAGUAAAAAUGACAGGGAAAAGAGAAUUUCAAAGUGGAAUUUCCCCACCGAGUAUUGAGAAAGUAAGAAAGAUUUUAAUUAUCUAUUGAAGUGAGGCAGCCAGGAUUCAGGAAGAAAGGAAGAGAAGAGCAGACGACAGACAAGGGCGGUCUGAACUUUGGGGUCCAGACGGAAAUCUUGUGACGAUGGUGGUUUUGAGUGGGUAUUGGAUAUACUGAGUUUUGCUGUUUAAGGAUCCACAGAACCCACACAGGAGGGCUUUGCUGGCCACAGUUCCGGUGACAAGAUUGUUCCUCCUCACAUACACAGCAUUCACUUGUGUUUAAAGCUCAAGCAGACAAUUUCCCAAAAGAACACUAAGGAUACUAACACUUACAGAUUCAAUGAUAUAAAUGUGGACCAUGUUACAUGAGGUGGAGAUUGUGGAGUGAUGGCCGGGCUGAAGGAGAAGUGUUUCCUUAAAGGAAACCCUGCACCUGCCUGUUUGAAAGGUGACCUCUGAUACCCUUUCCAAGCAAAUAAUGCAUCUGGAUGACAAUCAAAGUGUUCCCAGCACACCUCUUUCCACCUCUCUAUUCCUGCUCAGAUUUUGAAUGCUAGAAAAUAAGCCAUAUAAAGGGAGAGUUUUAAUUCCAUACUGGAUUGUUUCCUUUUAGAGAAAUCACUGCAAAGGAGAAAUAACUAAGUCUAGCUUGUCAUCUUUAAAGGGUUUUGGGCUCCAAGCUUCCAGAUUUCUUGAAUGUCAAUAAUAAGCUGGUGUUUUGUACAAAGACAGGAUCUGAGAUCUCAUUUUAUUACACAGCUGGCUGCCAGGGGACCACGGGUGGUGACUCCUAUCCUUUGUGGGCCUCCGUGCACUAAGCUGUAUACAGAGAAUAAAUAAUAUUGCAGAACUUCAUUAGGAGUUCAGAGGGAUUAAGUCAUUAACAGUUUCUAAUUUCUGCAUAUAUUAUAGCCAUCAUUUGUACCUUGAAAACUCAUUUGAGUGAUCUGGAGAAGAGAAGAAUCCUUUUCUAGAUGAACAGGCCUUGGACAUAGCUAGUUUUUCUAGCUAUGUUGGUGACUGCAUUAAGAUUUAUGAUUUCUUACUCAGAGGCGUCCUUCCAGACUGAGUUCUUUGGAACUUCGAACUGUUCCACUUAACCCGAGUGUUACCACCUUCAGUAAUUUUCUUUGUUGUUAGCUCAGGGUAUCAGAGGAAAUCAGAUAGAUCCCAUCUGUUUCCAGCAGGGUCCUUUAACCUCUGUAAAAAUAUGGUAUCAACAUACAUUCCUAGGGGUUUCUGAGUUACGUAGAGUUAUUUUUAAAGCAACAGUGAUGAUCUUGGCCCUUCUGGAGUUAUUUUCUCCCUAAGUUCACUGGCCAUUUCAGUAGAGAUGAUUUCUCGGAUUGUGGGAUACCCCUGUCACCCUGCUAAGUACUAACAGGCUAAGGCUACCUAAUCGUGGUCAUUCCUUGGCUUCUCAAGAACUCGGAGCUCAGGACAAUAUUUGAAACAUGUUGUAGCAAGAGGGCAAUGAAGGCCUUGGGAAAAAAAAAAGAAGAGGAAACAGAUGAGCUUCGUUUAGUUGGAUUAAACUCUGACCUGAAACCUGUCAUUUGCUCUUGCUCUUUCUUAAAAACAAUCCUUAUGUAAUUCUUUCAGUUUCAUCAUUUAUUCACAACCCAUUUGCUUCCCCUGAUCAUUUCAUCAGCCUGGCCUGGCUCCCCUGUCUGGGCUCCCGGGGCUGCUCAGUGGAGAAGAUGCCUGGCCAGGGGUCCACACAGGCCCCUCUUGGUCUCCGGAAGCUUGCAGGGGGGACAGGUUUGCUUGUGUCAACAGCUCAGCAACUGGGACCUCUCCGCACGCCCUGCUGUCACAGAUGGCUCAGGCUGAGGAAGGAGAUUGAGGUAGUUUGGUGUAGUGGGUUCUGGAACCAGUUUGUAUCCUCCCCUAACCAGCUACUUCAUUUAAGAUCCACAUGGGACCGUAUCUGCACUUAACCUCCACGGAAUGGAGUUACACAAUCAGCUGCCGUGUGUGAACUGUGGCAUCCAUGUGGCAUAGGACCAGUGUCACUCACGAAAGCCUGCUGUGUCCAGGAGAACGGAGACACUUUCUCUGUGGCUGCUUUCCUCGCUUUGCGGUUCACCGGGACCCUUUAAUUUCAGUUUGCUGGAGAGCCCAGCUUUCAAACUCACACCACUCUACAGUCAAAUUCGAAGUCUGUGAAAACACGACCAAGAGAACAUUCUUUGGCCUGGAAGGUUUGAGGAUAUCACAGGAAGGCCUCUCAAGCCCUCUUCUGUCAUCUCGAAAGCAGAAGAAGGAACCUGUGAUCCCAAGGCUGGACACAGGGCAUAAAAUUCCUCCUCUUUCCUUCUUGCUCCUUCACCCUCCUCGUACACCUGCCAGUAAGAGGCAACAUGACAGACUAAAGCGUGACAAAAGCAAGCGAUAAGCUAAGCAAUAGAUUUAGCAAAUAAAAAUAUUGCUGGGGGCAUAAA